AUUGAACGCUGGCGGCAGGCCUAACACAUGCAAGUCGAGCGAGCGGCGGACGGGUGAGUAAUGUAUGGGGACUUCCCGCUAGAUGGGGAUAACUACUGGAAACUGUCUCUAAUAACGCAUACUAUCGGAUAACCCAUAUGGUAUUAGCUAGUAGGUGAGGUAACGGCUCACCUAGGCGACGAUCCCUAGCUGGUCUGAGAGGAUGAUCAGCCACACUGGGACUGAGACAAGGCCCAGACUCCUACGGAGGCAGCAGUGGGGAAUAUUGCACAAUGGGCACAAGCCUGAUGCAGCCAUGCCGCGUGUAUGAAGAAGGCCCUAGGGUUGUAAAGUACUUUCAGUCGGGAGGCGUUACCGACAGAAGAAGCACCGGCUAACUCCGUGCCAGCAGCCGCGGUAAUUC
rnacentral:rRNA from 1 species